rnacentral:rRNA from 1 species
GCUGGCGGCAUGCUUUACACAUGCAAGUCGAACGGCAGCAUGACCUAGCUUGCUAGGUUGAUGGCGAGUGGCGAACGGGUGAGUAAUACAUCGGAACGUACCCAAUAGUGGGGGAUAACGCAGCGAAAGCUGUGCUAAUACCGCAUACGUCCUACGGGAGAAAGCGGGGGAUCUUCGGACCUCGCGCUAAUGGAGCGGCCGAUGUCAGAUUAGCUAGUCGGUGGGGUAAAGGCCCACCAAGGCGACGAUCUGUAGCUGGUCUGAGAGGAUGAUCAGCCACACUGGGACUGAGACACGGCCCAGACUCCUACGGGAGGCAGCAGUGGGGAAUUUUGGACAAUGGGGGCAACCCUGAUCCAGCCAUGCCGCGUGAGUGAAGAAGGCCUUCGGGUUGUAAAGCUCUUUCGCAAGGGAAGAAAACUUAGCC